rnacentral:siRNA from 1 species
AGCGUUUGCGGUUGCGGGCGGUAG